rnacentral:rRNA from 1 species
CCUACGGGAGGCAGCAGUGAGGAAUAUUGGUCAAUGGUCGGGAGACUGAACCAGCCAAGCCGCGUGAGGGAUGAAGGUACAGAGUAUCGUAAACCUCUUUUGUCAGGGAACAAAGGCGGGGACGCGUCCCCGGAUGAGUGUACCUGAAGAAAAAGCAUCGGCUAACUCCGUGCCAGCAGCCGCGGUAAUACGGAGGGGGCAAGCGUUAUCCGGAAUGACUGGGCGUAAAGGGAGCGUAGGCGGUCUGAUAAGUUGGAAGUGAAAUCCCGGGGCUCAACCCCGGAACUGCUUUCAAGACUGACGGACUUGAGUGUAAGAGGGGUAAGCGGAAGUCCGGGUGUAGCGGUGGAAUGCGUAGAUAUUAGGAGGAACACCAGUGGCGAAGGCGGCUUACUGGAUUAUAACUGACGCUGAGGCUCGAAAGCGUGGGUAGCAAACAGGAUUAGAUACCCUAGUAGUC